AAUUAAAUUCUGUGGAUUUUUAGAAAUGAUUUCACGAUAGUGGGAGCGAGUACGAGGCUCGGAGGAAUUGUGGAAUUAGUUCGAACGAUUAAUUUUCGAAAAAACGAACGUUAUUUAGGGGGUCUCAAAAAGUGACUUUUUAUACAUUGGGAAUUUGGGAAAACUUCCUUCAUGAAAGUUGUAGAGGACAUUAAACCGAGUGCGUGCAUAUGUGGUACGUAAAAAUCGGAGUUCGUAUGCGAAAGUUAUAAGCAAAAUAUGAAAGUUACUGUUUAUGGUAGAUUGGUAUAAAUUUGAAAUGUUACUGUAGCCAGGUAACUUUUCUUUCUUUUCUCUCUCCUUCCCCCGUGCUCUCUCAGUCUCUCUCUUCUGCAACUCUCUCUUUCUCUCUUCUGCAACCUCCUCUUUCACCACCUCUAGACCACCAAAUGGCGAGCUGCGAGCAUCGAUAGACUCGUCUCUUCCUCCUUAUCACGCAUGUGGGAGUUGUUUACGACGAUUUGGCCGGAAAUGUGGAGAUCGAAGCCAACAUUUUUACUGUAGCAAAUUAGUCAACGCCGAUUUCCGGCCACCUCCAGUCAUAAACCCAGGUCCAUUAGAAGCGCCUUAAGCCGCUCUUCAUGCUCGCCAAGUCUCAUAACCCAGAUCGAAGCAUGGAGGAAGAAAGCAUAAUUGGAAAAUUUCACUGUACAUCGGAGUGCUUAAUUGUUCGGCUACUUCAAGGUGAUUGACGGUUUGAGUUGGUGGACGAUUGUGGAUCGUAUUUUGAGCUGAAUUGAAGACGCAGCGGGAUUAUCGAGCGGGUAAUCCUACAGGACAGGAGAACCAGGACGGUGACCGUGCGGUUAGAGCAAUUGUUAGAGUUUUACAGCAAUUGUAAGUUGUGAGGUGUGUUAUGCUCAUUUAGAGCUUUACAAUAUUGCUUGUGAGAGUGAAUUGUAAUAAUGAACUCGAGGUUUCGAGAUUUGGAGUUUGUGUACCUUGUGGUGAGAUUAUAUUGAGAAAAAAAUUCAGAACGUUUAUUUGAUUAAGUGGUUUAAUUCAUGUUUCGGAUUUGAAUUUAUUAUUCAAAAUUCGGGGCGUGACAGUUUGGUAUCAGAGCGUAAGGUGCAUAUUUGGUGAUGUGUCAAUACCUUCCGAGUGAUGGCCCGUCUGCAGCGGAUCCCCAUCGUGUGCUCUUCGGUAUUGGCUAAGUCAUUGGGUAUGCGUGA